AGGCAUUCACAGUUGCAAGUUGCCACCUGGAACCAAUCCACUGAAAGAACCUACAGAAUGGGAGGUGAAGCCAAGGGUAACUGAAGAGACUGGCCUUUUCUCCCUCUAUUAUUAACUGCAAAUCAUUCUUGUCAUGUUAGAAAGCAGAUUGUUUCUUCAAGUGUUAUUCACCAUUAUGCUCUGGAUCACAUCUCUUGACCUUCUUGCGGGGAACUUAAAGUCCAUUUCCAAUUAACAUGUGCUCAUUGCGGAGCUGUGGUUUAUCUGUAUAUGGAAGUCUUUGUUAUUUUAUCACUCGGUAGAGGAAUUAUAUUUUCCAUUUCUCCCCACUAAAUGUCACACUCUGGCCAAAC